rnacentral:lncRNA from 1 species
CGAGCUUUUAAACUUAAUGUUGCCCAGAUAAAUAGGUCGCUCGAGCGAGGGACCAGCGUGACUCGAGCGACGUCCACUUAGCUCGAGCGACCUGCUGGCGAGGCUCUAGCGACAGUGGUUCUGCAAUCGUGGCUCGAGCGAGAUCAUGGCGUGGCUCUAGCGAAAUCUCGCGCCGUUUGCAACUUCGAGGCAUCCAUCACAACCCUAGACCUAGCCUUCAACACUUUGAUUAUUUGCAACUCAAUUCCCUGAACUAUUGGACAUUUGACACUUUGGUCCUUGACCUUACAAUUGUGACAUUUUAAUCCUUGACUUUACAAUUAUUACAUUUUGGUCCUUGGUCACAGAUUUGCCAAUUACAUAUUUCUUAACAAACUCCCCCUUUGGCAUUCUGUGACAAAAACACAUUUGAUA